AACGAACGCUGGCGGCAGGCCUAACACAUGCAAGUCGAGCGCCCGCAAGGGAGCGGCGGACGGGUGAGUAACGCGUGGGUAACCUGCCCUGUACACACGGAUAACAUACCGAAAGGUAUGCUAAUACGAGAUAAUAUGCUUUUAUCGCAUGGUAGAAGUAUCAAAGCUUUUGCGGUACAGGAUGGACCCGCGUCUGAUUAGCUAGUUGGUAAGGUAACGGCUUACCAAGGCGACGAUCAGUAGCCGACCUGAGAGGGUGAUCGGCCACAUUGGAACUGAGACACGGUCCAAACUCCUACGGGAGGCAGCAGUGGGGGAUAUUGCACAAUGGGCGAAAGCCUGAUGCAGCAACGCCGCGUGAGCGAUGAAGGCCUUCGGGUCGUAAAGCUCUGUCCUCAAGGAAGAUAAUGACGGUACUUGAGGAGGAAGCCCCGGCCAACUACGUGCCAGCAGCCGCCGCAGAAA
rnacentral:rRNA from 1 species